AGCAUUAUUAAAACAUGCAAAUUAAAUAACCUGCCACUUCUUAUAGAAUCAACAGCAGAUACAACAUCCCAGAG